rnacentral:rRNA from 1 species
AUUGAACGCUGGCGGCAGGCCUAACACAUGCAAGUCGAACGAGUGGCGGACGGGUGAGUAAUGUCUGGGAAACUGCCUGAUGGAGGGGGAUAACUACUGGAAACGGUAGCUAAUACCGCAUACCAUCGGAUGUGCCCAGAUGGGAUUAGCUAGUAGGUGGGGUAAUGGCUCACCUAGGCGGCGAUCCCUAGCUGGUCUGUGAGGAUGAACAGCCACACUGGAACUGAGGCACGGUCCAGACGCCUACGGGAGGCAGCAGUGGGGAAUAUUGCACAAUGGGCGCAAGCCUGAUGCAGCCAUGCCGCGUGUGUGAAGAAGGCCUUCGGGUUGUAAAGGACUUUCAGCGAGGGGGCGUUACCCGCAGAAGAAGCACCGGCUAACUCCGGGGCAGCAGCCGGGGUAAUAC